UCAGGAGCUGCUGAUCCAGUUUUACACUGCAGUCAUUGAGUCUGUUCUCUGCUCAUCCAUUACUGUCUGGUUUGGUUCGGCCACUAAACUAGACAGGAACAGAUUACAACGGACAGUCAGGUCUGCAGAAAGGAUUAUUGGUGCCGACCUGCCCACCAUCCAGGACCUGUACACAUCCAGAGCAAGGAAACGGGCAGGGAAAAUCAUUGCAGACCCCUCACACCCUGGACAUAAUCUGUUCCAGCUCCUGCCCUCUGGCAGGCGCUACAGAACUAUGUACACAAAAACCACCAGACACAGGAACAGUUUUUUCCCCCUUGCCGUCACUCUAGUGAACAGUUGACAGAUUAUUAUACUUGUAUUAUUAUAUUAUAUAUUAUAUUUAUUUAUUAUCCUAAACUGUUGCAUGCAUAUUUUUCAGUUUAAGUACAUUGAGAGCAAUUAAACCCAGGAAAAAUUCCUUGUAUGUGGAAAUGUACUUGGCCAAUAAAGAUGAUUCUGAUUCUGAUUCUGAUUCUGAUAUACUUUUCAUUUAAAAAUAUUUUUUUCGUGAAUUAAAUCUCAUUCACAUUUACAUUAACAUUACAUACAAUAAUUUGAACAUUGAAAUGGUAAAAAACAUAAUUAUUGUUAAUAAUAUCAAAUAAAUAUCAGUCACCCAAAAUUACAUCAUUGGUGUGUUAAUGCUACACAAAACAAAACUUUUAUUUUGAAAUAAUGCACUGUGCAAUGAUGGGUGCUUACGGAGUCAGGCACACAUGUGAAACUAUUCUAUGUAAGCAAUGACGAUGUGGAGGAACGGGCAAAGAAAAUGCUAAAGGUCCUUCUUUCGGCAAUAAAGGGGACUAUGAAAAUUCAUCAAGUGUUGAGCAUCACACCCGGAAUCCUCAGAUACAGAGACAUCAGCUGUUUCUGCCAGGCAGCAGAGGAUGUGUGGGAUUGACUCUGCUACGGUCUGCAAGAUGUUGUUGGAUGUUGUUCCGCCUUCAGAGGGAGACCAGUCAGAGCCACAAACACAGCAACACCGACCUGAACAAGUUCUACUGGCCAUCCCCACUAAGAAGACGUAAACCGGUUGGGGAAGAUCAGAUCAUGUGCUUAAUGUCAGAGCCAGUUGCUAUGGGGCGCCAUUUGUAAAAUGUUGCACGUUCGAAAAUCCUGCUCAGUUUCGGUACAUUUAGCAUUAUCAUAUGGAAAAAAAAAGCAUGACAAUAUUCCAAUGUCACUUUUUCAAGCAUUUAGAGAUAAAUUCAUGUGAUAACUUUUCCAAGGAUCAUUUUUAGCAGUAACACAAAGUUGUUAAAUAAUAUAAAUCUUUCAUCUAAAUGUUAAUGUUAAAUGAAAAUGUUAAAUAUGAACGUAAAUGUUCGAUGUUAUAUAUAAAUGUUAAAUAUAAGUGUAAAUGUUAAAUGUAAAUACAAAUUUUAAAUGCUUAAUGUAAAUGUUAAAUGUAAAUGUUCAGUCUACAUGUCAGACUUGACGACAGAACAUUACAAUAUUUACGGUAAUUCAUAGCUUUCAGUCACACUACAUAUACCUUGCGGGCGAAAGCGAAGAUGUCGACCAACAGUGGACAUCUUCGAACAGUGCAGCCUAGUCAAUUACGAUCGCCAUCAAACACAGAUCAUACCACAAUAGCCAGACAGAGAUAUCUAGAAAAAAAAAUACAUUUUGGGAACCUGUGAUCCCUUUACUGCACCCGCUGAUAUUUUUAUUUCUAUAACGUCGUCGAAGUCCCUGCCUGAGCUCCAGUUUGGAGAUAUUUACAUCUAUCUAAUAGAAAAUCCGUCCCCCUACACACCUCAAAAACUGAAAGCCUACCAAAAGCACAGAUAGUAAUUUAAUUUUCAGAAGGGGAUGGGUUCAUAACGAUGUCGUCUGGAAGGUGAAAACUAAUAAACAUCUUCAUUAUCAGAGCA
rnacentral:lncRNA from 1 species